GACGAACGCUGGCGGCGUGCCUAAUACAUGCAAGUUGAGCGCUGAAGGUUGGUACUUGUACCCACUGGAUGAGCAGCGAACGGGUGAGUAACGCGUGGGGAAUCUGCCUUUGAGCGGGGGACAACAUUUGGAAACGAAUGCUAAUGCCGCAUAAAAACUUUAAACACAAGUUUUAAGUUUGAAAGAUGCAAUUGCCUCACUCAAAGAUGAUCCCGCGUUGUAUUAGCUAGUUGGUGAGGUAAAGGCUCACCAAGGCGAUGAUACAUAGCCGACCUGAGAGGGUGAUCGGCCACAUUGGGACUGAGACACGGCCCAAACUCCUACGGGAGGCAGCAGUAGGGAAUCUUCGGCAAUGGACGAAAGUCUGACCGAGCAACGCCGCGUGAGCGAAGAAGGUUUUCGGAUCGUAAAACUCUGUUGGUAGAGAAGAACGUUGGGGAGAGUGGAAAGCUCAUCAAGUGACGGUAACUACCCAGAAAGGGACGGCUAACUACGUG
rnacentral:rRNA from 1 species